AGUGAACGCUGGCGGUAGGCCUAACACAUGCAAGUCGAACGGCAGCACAGUAAGAGCUUGCUCUUACGGGUGGCGAGUGGCGGACGGGUGAGGAAUACAUCGGAAUCUACUUUUUCGUGGGGGAUAACGUAGGGAAACUUACGCUAAUAUCGCAUACGACCUACGGGUGAAAGCAGGGGAUCUUCGGACCUUGCGCGAUUGAAUGAGCCGAUGUCGGAUUAGCUAGUUGGCGGGGUAAAGGCCCACCAAGGCGACGAUCCGUAGCUGGUCUGAGAGGAUGAUCAGCCACACUGGAACUGAGACACGGUCCCGACUCCUACGGGAGGCAGCAGUGGGGAAUAUUGGACAAUGGGCGCAAGCCUGAUCCAGCCCUACCGCGUGGGUGAAGAAGGCCUUCGGGUUGUAAAGCCCUUUUGUUGGGAAAGAAAAGCAGCAGGUUAAUACCCCGCUGUUCUGACGGUACCCAAAGAAUAAGCACCGGCUAACUUCGUG
rnacentral:rRNA from 1 species